ACUUAAAUUGAAGAGUUUGAUCAUGGCUCAGAUUGAACGCUGGCGGCAGGCCUAACACAUGCAAGUCGAGCGGUAGCACAGGAGAGCUUGCUCUCCGGGUGACGAGCGGCGGACGGGUGAGUAAUGUCUGGGAAACUGCCUGAUGGAGGGGGAUAACUACUGGAAACGGUAGCUAAUACCGCAUAACGUCGCAAGACCAAAGAGGGGGACCUUCGGGCCUCUUGCCAUCAGAUGUGCCCAGAUGGGAUUAGCUAGUAGGUGGGGUAACGGCUCACCUAGGCGACGAUCCCUAGCUGGUCUGAGAGGAUGACCAGCCACACUGGAACUGAGACACGGUCCAGACUCCUACGGGAGGCAGCAGUGGGGAAUAUUGCACAAUGGGCGCAAGCCUGAUGCAGCCAUGCCGCGUGUAUGAAGAAGGCCUUCGGGUUGUAAAGUACUUUCAGCGGGGAGGAAGGUGUUGUGGUUAAUAACCACAGCAAUUGACGUUACCCGCAGAAGAAGCACCGGCUAACUCCGUGCCAGCAGCCGCGGUAAUACGGAGGGUGCAAGCGUUAAUCGGAAUUACUGGGCGUAAAGCGCACGCAGGCGGUCUGUCAAGUCGGAUGUGAAAUCCCCGGGCUCAACCUGGGAACUGCAUUCGAAACUGGCAGGCUAGAGUCUUGUAGAGGGGGGUAGAAUUCCAGGUGUAGCGGUGAAAUGCGUAGAGAUCUGGAGGAAUACCGGUGGCGAAGGCGGCCCCCUGGACAAAGACUGACGCUCAGGUGCGAAAGCGUGGGGAGCAAACAGGAUUAGAUACCCUGGUAGUCCACGCCGUAAACGAUGUCGACUUGGAGGUUGUGCCCUUGAGGCGUGGCUUCCGGAGCUAACGCGUUAAGUCGACCGCCUGGGGAGUACGGCCGCAAGGUUAAAACUCAAAUGAAUUGACGGGGGCCCGCACAAGCGGUGGAGCAUGUGGUUUAAUUCGAUGCAACGCGAAGAACCUUACCUACUCUUGACAUCCAGAGAACUUUCCAGAGAUGGAUUGGUGCCUUCGGGAACUCUGAGACAGGUGCUGCAUGGCUGUCGUCAGCUCGUGUUGUGAAAUGUUGGGUUAAGUCCCGCAACGAGCGCAACCCUUAUCCUUUGUUGCCAGCGGUUAGGCCGGGAACUCAAAGGAGACUGCCAGUGAUAAACUGGAGGAAGGUGGGGAUGACGUCAAGUCAUCAUGGCCCUUACGAGUAGGGCUACACACGUGCUACAAUGGCGCAUACAAAGAGAAGCGACCUCGCGAGAGCAAGCGGACCUCAUAAAGUGCGUCGUAGUCCGGAUUGGAGUCUGCAACUCGACUCCAUGAAGUCGGAAUCGCUAGUAAUCGUAGAUCAGAAUGCUACGGUGAAUACGUUCCCGGGCCUUGUACACACCGCCCGUCACACCAUGGGAGUGGGUUGCAAAAGAAGUAGGUAGCUUAACCUUCGGGAGGGCGCUUACCACUUUGUGAUUCAUGACUGGGGUGAAGUCGUAACAAGGUAACCGUAGGGGAACCUGCGGUUGGAUCACCUCCUUACCUUAAAGAA
rnacentral:rRNA from 1 species